rnacentral:rRNA from 1 species
GAUGAACGCUGGCGGCGUGCCUAAUACAUGCAAGUCGAGCGAACAGACGAGGAGCUUGCUCCUCUGACGUUAGCGGCGGACGGGUGAGUAACACGUGGAUAACCUACCUAUAAGACUGGGAUAACUUCGGGAAACCGGAGCUAAUACCGGAUAAUAUAUUGAACCGCAUGGUUCAAUAGUGAAAGACGGUUUUGCUGUCACUUAUAGAUGGAUCCGCGCCGCAUUAGCUAGUCGGUAAGGUAACGGCUUACCAAGGCAACGAUGCGUAGCCGACCUGAGAGGGUGAUCGGCCACACUGGAACUGAGACACGGUCCAGACUCCUACGGGAGGCAGCAGUAGGGAAUCUUCCGCAAAGGGCGAAAGCUUGACGGAGCAACGCCGCGUGAGUGAUGAAGGUCUUCGGAUCGUAAAACUCUGUUAUUAGGGAAGAACAAAUGUGUAAGUAACUAUGCACGUCUUGACGGUACCUAAUCAGAAAGCCACGGCUAACUACGUG